AGUCCCGUAGUCCAACGGUACGACGCCGGCAAUCCACGUUUUGAGAUUCGCUGGAGAUUGCGGGUUCAAUUCCCGCCGGAGCGA